AAUCAACGCUGGCGGCGUGCCUAACACAUGCAAGUCGCACGAGAAAGCGGACUUCGGUCUGCAAGUACAGUGGCGCACGGGUGAGUAACACGUGAAUUAUCUACCUUCGAGUGGGGAAUAACCUCGGGAAACCGAGGCUAAUACCGCAUAACACUUACGAGUCAAAGCAGCAAUGCGCUUGAAGAGGAGUUCGCGGCAGAUUAGUUAGUUGGCGGGGUAAUGGCCCACCAAGACGAUGAUCUGUAUCCGGCCUGAGAGGGCGCACGGACACACUGGAACUGAAACACGGUCCAGACUCCUACGGGAGGCAGCAGUGGGGAAUUUUGCGCAAUGGGGGAAACCCUGACGCAGCAACGCCGCGUGGAGGAUGAAAUCCCUUGGGAUGUAAACUCCUUUCGAUCGGGACGAUUAUGACGGUACCGGAAGAAGAAGCCCCGGCUAACUUCGUGCCAGCCGCCGCAGUAA
rnacentral:rRNA from 1 species